UACGAAGGGGGCUAGCGUUGUUCGGAUUUACUGGGCGUAAAGCGCACGUAGGCGGUUUGUUAAGUCAGGGGUGAAAUCCCGGAGCUCAACUCCGGAACUGCCUUUGAUACUGGCAAGCUAGAGUCCGGAAGAGGUAAGUGGAACUCCUAGUGUAGAGGUGGAAUUCGUAGAUAUUAGGAAGAACACCAGUGGCGAAGGCGGCUUGCUGGUCCGGAACUGACGCUGAGGUGCGAAAGCGUGGGGAGCAAACAGG
rnacentral:rRNA from 1 species